GCUCCUAUGGUCUAGUGGUUAUGACGCUUCGUUGUGGAACCGAAGCAGCCUGUGUUCGAUUCACGGUGGGGGCA
rnacentral:tRNA from 1 species